GGUCUGGUGGUGAAAUGGUAUCACAUCUGCUGCGUGUCUGUUUGCAUUGACGGCCCCUUUUCAGCAAAAGUCCCUUGUUCGACUCAAGGCCAGGCUG